rnacentral:rRNA from 1 species
CGGCCACACUGGUACUGAGACACGGCCCAGACUCCUACGGGAGGCAGCAAUGGGGAAUAUUGCACAAUGGGCGAAAGCCUGAUGCAGCGACGCCGCGUGAGGGAUGACGGCCUUCGGGUUGUAAACCUCUUUCAGCAGGGAAGAAGCGAAAGUGACGGUACCUGCAGAAGAAGCGCCGGCUAACUACGUGCCAGCAGACGCGGUAAUACGUAGGCCGCGAGCGUUGUCCGGAAUUAUUGGGCGUAAAGAGCUCGUAGGCGGCUUGUCACGUCGGUUGUGAAAGCCCGGGGCUUAACCCCGGGUCUGCAGUCGAUACGGGCAGGCUAGAGUUCGGUAGGGGAGAUCGGAAUUCCUGGUGUAGCGGUGAAAUGCGCAGAUAUCAGGAGGAACACCGGUGGCGAAGGCGGAUCUCUGGGCCGAUACUGACGCUGAGGAGCGAAAGCGUGGGGAGCGAACAGGAUUAGAUACCCUGGUAGUCCACGCCGUAAACGGUGGGCACUAGGUGUGGGCAACAUUCCACGUUUGUCCGUGCCGCAGCUAACGCAUUAAGUGCCCCGCCUGGGGAGUACGGCCGCAGGCUAAAACUCAAAGGAAUUUGACGGGGGCCCCGCACAAGCGGCGGAGCAUGUGGCUUAAUUCGACGCAACGCGAAGAACCUUACCAAGGCUUGACAUACACCGGAAACGUCUGGAGACAGGCGCCCCCUUGUGGUCGGUGUACAGGGUGGUGCAUGGCUGUCGUCAGCCUCGUGUCGUGAAGAUGUUGGGUUUAAGUCCCGCAACGAGCGCAACCCUUGUCCCGUGUUGCCAGCAGGCCCUUGUGGUGCUGGGGACUCACGGGAGACCGCCGGGG